GGCAUCAUCUUCUGUUUAAGAAGAGGUAAAGCCCAGAAUGCUCCAGGCAGCCCAUCUACAGUUCACGUUCGAGGGAAGAGCGUAAUACCAAACUGAUUCAGGAAGCCUUUUCAGCAGAUUUUGCAGGUCAGCUGGCCUUGGCUGUAAGCUGUAGGUUGAAUCCAGGUCUGCUCCACGCGUCUUGCAUCCCUUUGAGACCAGUGGCUGCCUGGAGCAUGCUCUUCUCAUAGUGAAUGGCAGGAGCUCAAGAGAAGCCCACCCAUGCAGGCACUCUGCUCACAUCACACCCAUUCAAGUUCUGUUGGCCAAGGGAGAAAAUGAACUGAGUUGCAGUCAAUUAAAUAGAAGAGGAUCUGCUGAUUUGGGCGUUAACACUUCCAACCUGACUCAGGUUUGAAAAGAGCCUUAAGUAUUUCCCAUAAUAACCUAGACCUAAGAAUUGUGGGAAAGGGUUCUCCCUUAUAUACCUGAGAAAGGGUGACAGGCAAGAACCUAAAUUUUCUCUCCCAUGCCUGGGUGUGGAGGGAUAGGGCAGAAAAGGAAGAGCUUAUCUAAGGACAUCAUGGCAUCCCUCUGUCUAACACCUCACGCUGUCCUGCAGGGAGCAAAAGAAUGCAGCUUUGGGGGCCAUUCAGUUAGAAGCCAGCUGUAGAGUGGACACGGGGAUAAGGUGGUAUUCCUAAUCGUGUCCCUGGUGCUCCAGGUGGGUGGGCAGGGUGAUAUUUCCGAGCCCCUGGCCGGAUCUCAUUUAAAUGGUGGGGACACUCUGUACCUGUAGCAAAUCCUGCUGGAAAGGCAUGAUCCAGGGCGGGUGGGGACCAUGGACCAGCAGAGAGCUUCCUGGUCAGCGUGGUAGAGUCAAGUGGGUCCUGGCAGGCAGGUGAGCAGGGCAGUCUGGGAUGCUGCUGUUAUCACCGCAUCCUUGGAAGGCUGUGUCCCUCAACCAAGUUGGUGUGACAGUUAUGGAGAGAGGGUUAAGCCAGAUGCACUGGGGUAGAGAAGGGGCCAGGUGGGGCCUUGGAGGUGAUGAACAGGUGGCUUCCUUCUGCCACAGCCAUUGCGCCAUGGGAAGCAGGGCAAAGCAGGGAAUGAACAUGAUCCCAUGCCUGCCCCUUACCAGCUAUGUGACAAGGGCACAUUGUUUCCUUUCCCUGGGCUCAAGGCCCUCAUCUGUUAUCUGGAGAGGUUAGAUUCCAUCCUUUCACUCAACAGAUAUUAGUGGAGGAUCCAUGAUGAGCCAGGUGCUAUUCUAAGGCCUUGGAGAUCUACAUAUGAAAAGGAUAAAAGUUAUCAAUGAAAAUUAGAUUUGGCCCUAUAUAACAGAAAGCCCAAAGAACAGCAGCUUAGGUCAAAUAGGGGAUUUGCUUAUUUGUGUCACUUAAAGCAAGUCUAAAGACCCCAGAUCAGAGCUGGCACAGUGGCCUCAU